rnacentral:rRNA from 1 species
AUGAACGCUGGCGGCGUGCCUAAUACAUGCAAGUCGAGCGAACAGAUGAGGAGCUUGCUCCUCUGACGUUAGCGGCGGACGGGUGAGUAACACGUGGAUAACCUACCUAUAAGCCUGGGAUAACUUCGGGAAACCGGAGCUAAUACCGGAUAAUAUAUUGAACCGCAUGGUUCCAUAGUGAAAGACGGUUUUGCUGUCACUUAUAGAUGGAUCCGCGCCGCAUUAGCUAGUUGGUAAGGUAACGGCUUACCAAGGCAACGAUGCGUAGCCGACCUGAGAGGGUGAUCGGCCACACUGGAACUGAGACACGGUCCAGACUCCUACGGGAGGCAGCAGUAGGGAAUCUUCCGCAAUGGGCGAAAGCCUGACGGAGCAACGCCGCGUGAGUGAUGAAGGUCUUCGGAUCGUAAAACUCUGUUAUUAGGGAAGAACAAAUGUGUAAGUAACUAUGCACGUCUUGACGGUACCUAAUCAGAAAGCCACGGCUAACUACGUG